UAAGUUUGUAGACAUUCACAAAUACGUCUCUGAAAUGCUUUCUCCAUCCUAUGCUGAGCAAAUUCGGAAAAUGAUAUUAGAUAAUACUACUUUUCUUCCAGAAUAUUAUAUGAACAGGUGGAGUCAGCUUAGAGAUCAUGGAACUAGCCAUUUCUGCAUUGUUGAUGCAGAGAGAAAUGCUGUAUCUAUGACAACUACCAUAAAUUAUGGUUUUGGAGCUGGAAUGCUCUCUCCUUCUACUGGUAUUGUGCUAAAUGAUGAGAUGGGCGACUUCUCUGCUCCCACAGAGAUAACCCCUGACACUCUUCCUCCUGCUCCGGCAAAUUUUAUUGAAGCCAACAAGAGACCCUUAUCUUCCAUGACACCCAUCGUUGUUACCAAGAAUGAUCAGCUGGUAGGGGUCUUAGGAGGUAGUGGAGGAAUGGACAUCAUUCCAGCAGUA
rnacentral:misc_RNA from 1 species